GGGUUAGGUGAGGGGAACUGAGCCUUCCCGUUCUGGUGUCCAGGGCGAGCGCCCCUUCCCCCAGGACGGGAAGGAAAUGCGCGGUCCAUUCUCCUGUGCCCAUUUCCGUCGGUGUCCCUGUGGUGGUGGUCGCGGCGAUGCCCGUGGUUUUGGUUCGCAUGUGGGCCGGACCCCAUCUCGCGGUUCGGGUGCGUCAUCACGGUUGUUUUACAGUGUAGAACCUGGUGGGAGCUUGUUAUUUUGUGAGAGACAAUGUGUGCGGGUGGGGGAAAUAGACACUUACCUGAGGGAGAAAAAAGUUUGUCCCCCAGAGAAAUGCCAAAGGAUGUGGGUUGCCAAAAAAAGGAAAAGAGGCAAAGUGCAGAAAAAUAAGUGAUGUAUGGUAAAAAAAUUACUUUGGAGUAAAGUAAUGAACUAGGAAAAAUACCAUAAAAAUGAUUGCAAAACAAAUUAGUGCAAACAAAGAAGGCCAACACUCCUUCUCCACUUAGACAAAGGAAGAGAAGGGGGGGGGGUUGUUGUUUUGUUUGGGGCCUUCACUUUUAGCACAAAGGGAUUAUAGCGCUGCAGGCCUCAAAAAAAAUUGUUUUGAGGUUGCUUUGCUAAGAAAAAGUCCUUGGUGCCAAAAAAAAGGGGUUUUAAAGAUGGUAAAAAGGUAGGAAAGGGUGCAAAAAACAAAAUUGUGUUUUUUUUAAAAAAGACAAGAGCAGAACUCUGUUUGCUAAAGGGCACUUUGGGCCUAGGGGAUAUUCCCCAGACGUUUAAGGCCCCUGAGCAAACUGGAGUAUAACACCUAUGAAUAAGUUCUCUUAAAAUCCAAAUAAUAUAUAAGGAAAAUAUAUACUUAUCUGUGUGUGCUGAUCGAUUAACGUAUCGACGAGUAGUUUUGUGUCUUCCUCAGAAUCUAUAGCACACAAUUCCCAGCGGCAGCAGCGUCUUGUGCGUGUGGAUCCUCAGGCGUUCAGAGUUGAACUUCUGUUUGUGUCCAAGCUGCUCGCUGGGGCUCUUAAAUCUCUCCGUAGUUGCAGUUUCAUUUGUUUUGCAAAUUUGGGCUGUGGAUGGCUUGGAAAGUGGGUGGAACUCUUCUUGUGGAUGGGCACCAUUGGGUUACUCCUCCUUCGUUAGUCUUGUACUUGGGGUCUGGGAUGUUCACCAGCAUUUGUCUGUUUGUGGGGGCGGCUCCAUGCAUUUGCAAGAUGUUGUUGGGGCCUCGUUUUGUGAAUGUUUUGUCCUUCUUCCUCCCAUCGUUGUCGUUAUCCUGCAGAGCUAGCUCGGACGACCGAUUUUAGCAUUGGAAUGCGGCACACCGGUUAUGGAUUUGUUUUGCUUUUAAGAGGUUAGGGUUAGGGUUAGGUGAGGGGAACUGAGCCUUCCCGUUCUGGUGUCCAGGGCGAGCGCCCCUUCCCCCAGGACGGGAAGGAAAUGCGCGGUCCAUUCUCCUGUGCCCAUUUCCGUCGGUGUCCCUGUGGUGGUGGUCGCGGCGAUGCCCGUGGUUUUGGUUCGCAUGUGGGCCGGACCCCAUCUCGCGGUUCGGGUGCGUCAUCACGGUUGUUUUACAGUGUAGAACCUGGUGGGAGCUUGUUAUUUUGUGAGAGACAAUGUGUGCGGGUGGGGGAAAUAGACACUUACCUGAGGGAGAAAAAAGUUUGUCCCCCAGAGAAAUGCCAAAGGAUGUGGGUUGCCAAAAAAAGGAAAAGAGGCAAAGUGCAGAAAAAUAAGUGAAGAGGUAUGGUAAAAAAAUUUACUUUGGAGUAAAGUAAUGAACUAGGAAAAAUACCAUAAAAAUGAUUGCAAAACAAAUUAGUGCAAACAAAGAAGGCCAACACUCCUUCUCCACUUAGACAAAGGAAGAGAAGGGGGGGGGGUUGUUGUUUUGUUUGGGGCCUUCACUUUUAGCACAAAGGGAUUAUGGCGCUGCAGGCCUCAAAAAAAAUUGUUUUGAGGUUGCUUUGCUAAGAAAAAGUCCUUGGUGCCAAAAAAAGGGGUUUUAAAGAUGGUAAAAAGGUAGGAAAGGGUGCAAAAAACAAAAUUGUGUUUUUUUUAAAAAAGACAAGAGCAGAACUCUGUUUGCUAAAGGGCACUUUGGGCCUAGGGGAUAUUCCCCAGACGUUUAAGGCCCCUGAGCAAACUGGAGUAUAACACCUAUGAAUAAGUUCUCUUAAAAUCCAAAUAAUAUAUAAGGAAAAUAUAUACUUAUCUGUGUGUGCUGAUCGAUUAACGUAUCGACGAGUAGUUUUGUGUCUUCAUCAGAAUCUAUAGCACACAAUUCCCAGCGGCAGCAGCGUCUUGUGCGUGUGGAUCCUCAGGCGUUCAGAGUUGAACUUCUGUUUGUGUCCAAGCUGCUCGCUGGGGCUCUUAAAUCUCCCCGUAGUUGCAGUUUCAUUUGUUUUGCAAAUUUGGGCUGUGGAUGGCUUGGAAAGUGGGUGGAACUCUUCUUGUGGAUGGGCACCAUUGGGUUACUCCUCCUUCGUUAGUAUUGUACUUGGGGUCUGGGAUGUUCACCAGCAUUUGUCUGUUUGUGGGGGCGGCUCCAUGCAUUUGCAAGAUGUUGUUGGGGCCUCGUUUUGUGAAUGUUUUGUCCUUCUUCCUCCCAUCGUUGUCGUUAUCCUGCAGAGCUAGCUCGGACGACUGAUUUAGCAUUUGAAUGCGGCACACCCGUUAUGGAUUUGUUUUGCUUUUAAGAGUCUAUUUUUUUAUUUUAUGCUAAGGUUGAUAUAAAAUUAGUAUCCUAGGGUUUGAGCAUGUUAGGGUUGACUCUAAGAUUAGGGCUAAGUAAAGUAAAUCAACAGUUAUGUUUAGGUAUGGGGGGAAGGAAUAUGAUUUUGAAGUUUAAGAAUGAAGUAUUUUAGUUUUGAAUUAGAAUUAGAAAAGUAAUAAAUAGGUGGGUAUUGUGGUUAGAAGAGGUUUGAGGAAAGUAGAUCGGUUGUUGUGUUUAGGUGGGGGGUUUUGGAAAAGGCAUACAGUUUUUAAAUUUGAGAUAAGAUAUUUUAAUUUUGAAAAUAAGAAUAGAGUAGUUAUGAGGCUAGGUGAUCUUUGUGUUUAGGGAAGGUUUAAGAGUGUAAGUUUAUACUUGUGUUUAGGGCUAGGUGAUCUUUUGUGUUUAGGGAAGGUUUAAGAGUGUAAGUUUAUACUUGUGUUUAGGGGGGGUUUGGGGAAGGGUUAGGGUUAGGGUUAGGGUUAGGGUUAGGGUUAGGGUUAGG